UUGCAGCCAAUUAAGCCAACGGGAUAUCUUUCAUCCUGGGUCCCGGUGUGCAAUGGCUGCAAACAGCAUCCUCCUUUGGAGUGUACACGGUGUGAUUUGUUGGACUGCUCUAAGAGAAAUAGAGUUAUCU
ensembl:snoRNA LOC120101229 small nucleolar RNA SNORA70